rnacentral:rRNA from 1 species
GACGUAGGGCGCGAGCGUUGUCCGGAUUUAUUGGGCGUAAAGAGCUCGUAGGCGGCUUGUCGCGUCGUCCGUGAAAACCUGCAGCUCAACUGCAGGCUUGCGGUCGAUACGGGCAGGCUAGAGUUCGGUAGGGGAGACUGGAAUUCCUGGUGUAGCGGUGAAAUGCGCAGAUAUCAGGAGGAACACCGGUGGCGAAGGCGGGUCUCUGGGCCGAUACUGACGCUGAUGAGCGAAAGCGUGGGGAGCGAACAGG